GACGAACGCUGGCGGCGUGCUUAACACAUGCAAGUCGAACGGACAGGCCCUGCUUUUGUUGGUUGCUCGAUUGGCGAACGGGUGUGUAAAACGUGUGUAAACUGCCCCUGACUUUGGGGUAACUUCACGGAAAUCGGGCUAAUACCCCAUAGGAUCUCCUGCUGCAUGUUGGUGGUUGGAAAGAUUCGGCGGUAGGGGCUGGUAUAGCUGCUUAUCAGCUGGAUUGUGGGGUAGUGGCUUACCAGGGCUUUGACGGAUAGCCGGCCUGAGAGCGUUACCGGCCACAUUGGGACUGAGAGACGGACCAGACUGGAACGGGACGCAGUAGUGGGGAACCUUGCAGAAUGGGCCGAAGUCAGAGGUGGCAAUGUCGCGAGCGGGAUGCUGGGCUACUGGUGGUAAACCAAUUUCGCCGGUGCCGAACAGUGAGUGACGGUAAUGGGUAAGAAAGCCCCGGCUAACUACGUG
rnacentral:rRNA from 1 species